GAUGAACGCUGGCGGCGUGCCUAAUACAUGCAAGUCGAGCGAACAGACGAGGAGCUUGCUCCUCUGACGUUAGCGGCGGACGUGUGAGUAACACGUGGAUAACCUACCUAUAAGACUGGGAUAACUUCGGGAAACCGGAGCUAAUACCGGAUAAUAUAUUGAACCGCAUGGUUCAAUAGUGAAAGACGGUUUUGCUGUCACUUAUAGAUGGAUCCGCGCCGCAUUAGCUAGUUGGUAAGGUAACGGCUUACCAAGGCAACGAUGCGUAGCCGACCUGAGCGGGUGAUCGGCCACACUGGAACUAAGACACGGUCCAGACUCCUACGGGAGGCAGAAGCAGGGAAUCUUCCGCAAUGCGCGAAAGCCUGACGGAGCAACGCCGCGUGAGUGAUGAAGGUCUUCGGAUCGUAAAACUCUGUUAUUAGGGAAGAACAAAUGUGUAAGUAACUAUGCACGUCUUGACGGUACCUAAUCAGAAAGCCACGGCUAACUACGUG
rnacentral:rRNA from 1 species